ensembl:snRNA U4 U4 spliceosomal RNA
AGCUUUGUACAGUGCCAGUAUCAGAGCCAAUGAGGUUUAUCUGAGGUGUGAUUAUUGCUAAUUGAAAACUUUUCCCAAUUAA